GUCUGGGAGCCCUCACUUGAAGGAGAAAGAGACGUGAAAACAGAAAAUGGAAUCUGUUGCAGAAGAAAUACAGCAAGAUGCUCCUAAUUCUUCCUGAGAGUGAGCUGAGGUUCCAUGGCAACCAGAUACUUGGACUAGAAUGGAGAUCCUGAACUGCAAAAUUUAUCCAUGAUUCCACCUGUCAGGAAGAUAUGUGUUCCCGGGCCGGCGCUGUGGCGUAAAGGAUAAAGCCGCAGCCUGCAGUGCUGGCAUCCCACAUCGGCGCCAGUUCAACUCCAGGCUGCUCUAUUUCCAAUCCAGUUCUCUACAAUGGCCUGGGAAAGCAGUGGAAGAUGACCCAAGUCCUUGGAACCCUGCAUCCGCAUGGGAGACCUGGAAGAAGCUCCUGGCUCUUGGUUUUGGAUUGGCACAGCUCCAGCCGUCAUGGCUAAUUGGGGGGGGUGAACCAGUAGAUGGAAGACCGCCCUCUUUUCUCUGCUUCUCCCUCUCUCUUUGUGUAACUUGGACUUUCAAAUAAAUAAAUAAGUAAAUCUU
rnacentral:lncRNA from 1 species